CGUGCACUGGUGGGGUCCCUCGGCCUGGCCUGUGCCCUCUCAUAAUCCGGGGCCCUUCAGGGGAUGUUGGAGAGCUGGUUUCGGCCCAAUCCCACAGGCCAGGCUGAGGGACUCCACUGGUGCACA
rfam:Myotis lucifugus cont2.5143, whole genome shotgun sequence.